rnacentral:rRNA from 1 species
CAGUCGACGAGUUCUCGUUGAUGAUCGGUGCUUGCACCGAGAUUCAACAUGGAACGAGUGGCGGACGGGUGAGUAACACGUGGGUAACCUGCCCUUAAGUGGGGGAUAACAUUUGGAAACAGAUGCUAAUACCGCAUAGAUCCAAGGACCGCAUGGUUCUUGGCUGAAAGAUGGCGUAAGCUAUCGCUUUUGGAUGGACCCGCGGCGUAUUAGCUAGUUGGUGAGGUAAUGGCUCACCAAGGCGAUGAUACGUAGCCGAACUGAGAGGUUGAUCGGCCACAUUGGGACUGAGACACGGCCCAAACUCCUACGGGAGGCAGCAGUAGGGAAUCUUCCACAAUGGACGCAAGUCUGAUGGAGCAACGCCGCGUGAGUGAAGAAGGCUUUCGGGUCGUAAAACUCUGUUGUUGGAGAAGAAUGGUCGGCAGAGUAACUGUUGUCGGCGUGACGGUAUCCAACCAGAAAGCCACGGCUAACUACGUGCCAGCAGCCGCGGUAAUACGUAGGUGGCAAGCGUUAUCCGGAUUUAUUGGGCGUAAAGCGAGCGCAGGCGGUUUUUUAAGUCUGAUGUGAAAGCCCUCGGCUUAACCGAGGAAGCGCAUCGGAAACUGGGAAACUUGAGUGCAGAAGAGGACAGUGGAACUCCAUGUGUAGCGGUGAAAUGCGUAGAUAUAUGGAAGAACACCAGUGGCGAAGGCGGCUGUCUGGUCUGUAACUGACGCUGAGGCUCGAAAGCAUGGGUAGCGAACAGGAUUAGAUACCCUGGUAGUCCAUGCCGUAAACGAUGAAUGCUAGGUGUUGGAGGGUUUCCGCCCUUCAGUGCCGCAGCUAACG